UGAGGGUCGAUCACGCCAUUUCAAACCGUCCCGCCAGCCAGCAGCAAGGACGUGAAUGGGCCAGAAGCGGUAGCCCCGAGACUCCAAGAGACAGAGGAAGGGAGAGAGAGAGAGAAACAUGGAUCAGUUGCUGCUCCUAUGCAUGCUGACCGGGGAUCGAACCUGUAACCUGGACUACAAGCUCCCUGAAGUCAGAAUUAGCAUCUAGAAUGGCGCCUGGCACAUACCAGCUGCCCAACAAAUCCGUGGUGAGUGAACCCGUCAAAGCUGGUGCCUGGCUCGGUGCCUGGCCGGCUGUCGGCAUGUUUGCAGAGUGACUGGCAGGACCGCAUUCCCAUGCACCCUGUUUAGCCGGCGGUGGGUGCGAGGCUGCCUGUCCUACUGAGAGGGGGAGGCCCAACAUUGAA